GACGAACGCUGGCGGCGUGCUUCAUACAUGCAAGUCGAACGAGAAUCUUAACUUCGGUUGAGAGGAAAGUGGCGGACGGGUGAGUAAUAUGUAGAGAAUCUGCCCUUGAGUGGGGGACAACAGAGGGAAACUUCUGCUAAUACCCCAUAUGAGCCAAGCUGAAAUGCUUGUCUUGAAAACUCCGGUGCUCAAGGAUGAGUCUGCAUCUGAUUAGCUAGUUGGCGGUGUAAUGGACCACCAAGGCGACGAUCAGUAGCUGGUUUGAGAGGAUGAUCAGCCACAAUGGGACUGAGACACGGCCCAUACUCCUACGGGAGGCAGCAGUAGGGAAUUUUGCGCAAUGGGCGAAAGCCUGACGCAGCAACGCCGCGUGAUUGAUUAAGCCCUCGGGUGUAAAGAAUCUGUCAGUAGGGACGAAACUUGACGGUACCUACAGAGGAAGCACCGG
rnacentral:rRNA from 1 species